ACGGGGUGCAGCAGGCGCGAAAACUCCGCAAUGCGCGAAAGCGUGACGGGGUUAACCCGAGUGCUAUCCGCUGAGGGUGGCUUUUCUUUAGUGUAAUGAGUUGAAGGAAUAAAGGGAGGGCAAGACUGGUGUCAGCCGCCGCGGUAAUACCAGCUCCCUGAGUGGUGGGGAUAAUUAUUGGGCUUAAAGCGUCCGCAGCCGGUCUGAUCAGUCUUCUGUUAAAUCCAGUGACCUAAUCAUUGGACUGCGGGAGAUACUGUUAGGCUAGGGGGCGGGAGAGGCCGAUGGUAUUCUCAGGGUAGGGGUGAAAUCCUAAAAUCCUGAGAGGACCACCAGUGGCGAAGGCGGUCGGCUAGAACGCGCUCGACGGUCAUGGACGAAGGCUGGGGUAGCGAACUGGAUUAGAUACCCGGGUAGUCCCAGCAGUAAACGAUGCGGGCUAGGUGUUGGAGCGGAUACAAACCGCUUCAGUGCCGCAGGGAAACUGUUAAGCCCGCCGCCUGGGAAGUACGGUCGCAAGGCUGAAACUUAAAGGAAUUGGCGGGGGAGCACCACAAGGCGUGAAGCUUGCGGUUUAAUUGGAGUCAACGCCGGAAAUCUUACCGGAGGAGACAGCAGAAUGAAGGCCAGAUUGAAGGUCUUGCUAGACAAGCUGAGAGGAGGUGCAUGGCCGUCGCCAGUUCGUGCCGUGAGGUGUCCUGUUA
rnacentral:rRNA from 1 species